rnacentral:rRNA from 1 species
GAUGAACGCUGGCGGCGUGCCUAAUACAUGCAAGUCGAGCGAACGGACGAGAAGCUUGCUUCUCUGAUGUUAGCGGCGGACGGGUGAGUAACACGUGGAUAACCUACCUAUAAGACUGGGAUAACUUCGGGAAACCGGAGCUAAUACCGGAUAAUAUUUUGAACCGCAUGGUUCAAAAGUGAAAGACGGUCUUGCUGUCACUUAUAGAUGGAUCCGCGCUGCAUUAGCUAGUUGGUAAGGUAACGGCUUACCAAGGCAACGAUGCAUAGACGACCUGAGAGGGUGAUCGGCCACACUGGAACUGAGACACGGUCCAGACUCCUACGGGAGGCAGCAGUAGGGAAUCUUCCGCAAUGGGCGAAAGCCUGACGGAGCAACGCCGCGUGAGUGAUGAAGGUCUUCGGAUCGUAAAACCCUGUUAUUAGGGAAGAACAUAUGUGUAAGUAACUGUGCACAUCUUGACGGUACCUAAUCAGAAAGCCACGGCUAACUACGUG